rnacentral:rRNA from 1 species
AUUGAACGCUGGCGGCAUGCCUUACACAUGCAAGUCGAACGGUAACAGGUCUUCGGAUGCUGACGAGUGGCGAACGGGUGAGUAAUACAUCGGAACGUGCCUAGUAGUGGGGGAUAACUACUCGAAAGAGUGGCUAAUACCGCAUGAGAUCUACGGAUGAAAGCAGGGGAUCGCAAGACCUUGUGCUACUAGAGCGGCCGAUGGCAGAUUAGGUAGUUGGUGGGAUAAAAGCUUACCAAGCCGACGAUCUGUAGCUGGUCUGAGAGGACGAUCAGCCACACUGGGACUGAGACACGGCCCAGACUCCUACGUGAGGCAGCAGUGGGGAAUGUUGGACUAUGGGAGAAAGCCUGAUCCAGCAAUGCCGCGUGCAGGAUGAAGGCCUUCGGGUUGUAAACUGCUUUUGUACGGAACGAAAAGCCCCGGGUUAAUACCCUGGGGUCAUGACGGUACCGUAAGAAUAAGCACCGGCUAACUACGUGCCAGCAGCCGCCGUAA